GUGUGAACAUCCCUCUUCCAUUUGAAGGCUUAGUGGUGCAAGUGGUUUUCUGUUUGGACUUUGAAGGAAAAGAGGGGACUAAUUCAGCAGAUGGGGACUGGAAGAUUUUUCUUUCAUGUUUCAAAUACAAUAUGAAGUGAACUAUGAAGUUAAGCAGCCACAAUUCUUUGCAAAGAUAAGACAGAGAAUCAAAUAUUUUAAGCAUGACAAUAGAAGGAAGUGCUAAGUGUAUGCAUGAGAAUGGCUCUCCAAAGGAUAAACAUUACAUCAGGGAAACAUUAUAGGAAGAACAUUUUAUAUGGAUCUCACAGCACUGAAAUUAUGAAUGUUUCCCACUAGAAAUUAUGUUGGAAAGGUUAUGUUUUACAAAGAUUUAAUUCAAACAUAAGGAAAUUAAAAUAAUGUAACCUGAAGAAAUGUUUGUAAUAUUUAUUUGAUAUUUUCCACAGGAAAUGAAGACUCAGUAAUAAUUAAAUACAAACAACAUCUACUGAAACAGGCUUAUGAAUGGUUGUGUGGAAAAACAAAUUCAGAAUUGGAAACUUCCUGCUCUCAGUUCUAUUUUUGAGAAUAAUAAUAGAAUAAAAGCAUAACAUGAGAC
rnacentral:lncRNA from 1 species